UACGGGGGGGAGCAAGCGUUGUUCGGAUUUACUGGGCGUAAAGGGCGCGUAGGCGGUCGUGACAAGUCACUUGUGAAAUCUCCGGGCUUAACUCGGAACGGUCAAGUGAUACUGUCGGACUAGAGUACAGAAGGGGCAACUGGAAUUCUCGGUGUAGCGGUGAAAUGCGUAGAUAUCGAGAGGAACACCUGCGGCGAAGGCGGGUUGCUGGGCUGAUACUGACACUGAGGGACGAAAGCUAGGGAGCGAAUGGG
rnacentral:rRNA from 1 species